GAGUUAAAGAAAGAAGGAAAAAAACUUUAGUACUUGACUAUAUUCAUCUCCACAGCUCUUCAAGAAUAAGAAGGGUAUAUAUAAUAUGAUGUUAGCCAUGUGUUGGAGGAAUAAAAAUCUGGCACAUUUCAUUUUCACCCUCUUUUCUUUUGUUUUCACUCACUAAUUAGAAUGUGUUUGAAAACAACAAGUCCCACUAUAAAUGAGCUACUUCCUUUGAUGAUAUUCUUGUUUCCUUCAAAGUAAAAAGAGAUGGAUUUUUGGAGAGGUGGAUAUGAGAAGCUUGAGAAGAGAAGGAGGCCAAUUGCAAUUAGUAGAAGAGGAAAAGGGGUGAAGCUAAGGCGAUGUACAAGGAAGCUCAUGUCUAUGCUGUCGACAAAGAUUGGUAGGAAAUAUGUGAAUUUUGUGAAAAGAAUGAAGAUGGAGGAAGCAUCUCCUGCUAUUGUCUUCUCCUUCCACUGGGGUCUUCCAGUCCUUUCCCACACCAACAAAAUUUCCUUCUCCACUUUACUCACAUAAUUAACAUUCUUAAGCAUAGUGAGCCGCGACGCACAACGAGCUGACUAAGGGCACAACUUGAAGUCAGAGACUCUUGUCAACCGUGACACACAGUGAUCCAAGCUGACCAGUUGAAUGCAAAAAUAGGCAGAACGACGGUCAGCCACAGCGUACUCCCAACCGAGCUGACCGAUACGGUUUUAUCUUAAAAUAUAACGUGAAUAUACGCUUCAACAACAAUUUUCAGGACAUUAUCUCAAUUCUUUUCCAAUUUUUUUUCUUUAAAACUUGUGAAAGUGUAGAAAUACCUAGAUUUGCAUAUUUUUCUUUAUCAACAUCAUUGUGGAGAAGAUUUCAAGUUUAAUUCAUAAGAUUUUCAUUA